UCCCUUCACACCUGAAGAUACUAUGACACA
rnacentral:piRNA from 1 species